AUUGAACGCUGGCGGCAUGCUUUACACAUGCAAGUCGAACGGUAACAGGCCGCAAGGUGCUGACGAGUGGCGAACGGGUGAGUAAUGCAUCGGAACGUGCCCAGUCGUGGGGGAUAACGCAGCGAAAGCUGCGCUAAUACCGCAUACGAUCUAUGGAUGAAAGCGGGGGACCGAAAGGCCUCGCGCGAUUGGAGCGGCCGAUGUCAGAUUAGGUAGUUGGUGGGGUAAAGGCUCGCCAAGCCAACGAUCUGUAGCUGGUCUGAGAGGACGACCAGCCACACUGGAACUGAGACACGGUCCAGACUCCUACGGGAGGCAGCAGUGGGGAAUUUUGGACAAUGGACGCAAGUCUGAUCCAGCCAUUCCGCGUGCAGGAUGAAGGCCCUCGGGUUGUAAACUGCUUUUGUACGGAACGAAAAGGCUCUUCUUAAUACGAGGGGCUCAUGACGGUACCGUAAGAAUAAGCACCGGCUAACUACGUGCCAGCCGCCGCCGUAACAC
rnacentral:rRNA from 1 species